CGCAAGGCCUUGAGGCAAUGGUAGGCUUCUGAACCGUGUCAGAUCCGGAAGGAAGCAGCACUAAGGUUGCAUUACCAUGUGUCUCUUGUUUUUUAGAU
rnacentral:SRP_RNA from 1 species